UGUGUGUGUGUGUGUGUGUGUGUGUGUGUGUGUGUGUGUGUACAGUACAGUACAGUACAGUAGUUCAUACAUGAGAAUGUACUGAUUCCAGGCACCAGAGGAAAAUAAAGACAUUUAGUAAAUAAUCUUCAAUAUUGUGAUAGAAAUAAGUUAACGUCAGUGGUUCAUGUAAAAAUCAAAAAUCUUAAAGAUAUAGUCAGGAAGCAUCUCCUAGGCCUACCUCUGAAUUUCUUCUGAAUGUAGAUGUCACUGCUGGAAAAAAGUUCUGAAUGUAUCUUUAAGUGGAUUUUGUUGAAAUAAACAGCACUUGUCUUUUA